rnacentral:rRNA from 1 species
UACAGGGGGUGCAAACGUUGCUCGGAAUCAUUGGGCGUAAAGCGCACGUAGGCGGUUCGUUAUGUCGGAUGUGAAAGCCCUUGGCUUAACCGAGGAAGUGCAUCCGAAACUGGCGAGCUAGAGUACGAAAGAGGAUCGCGGAAUUCCCGGUGUAGAGGUGAAAUUCGUAGAUAUCGGGAGGAACACCGGUGGCGAAGGCGGCGCACUGGACCACAACUGACGCUGAGGCGCGAAAGCUAGGGGGAGCAAACAGGG